rnacentral:rRNA from 1 species
UGUGUCCUACGGGAGGCAGCAGUGAGGAAUAUUGGUCAAUGGUCGGGAGACUGAACCAGCCACGCCGCGUGAGGGAUGAAGGUACAGAGUAUCGUAAACCUCUUUUGUCAGGGAACAAAGGCGGGGACGUGUCCCCGGAUGAGUGUACCUGCAGAAAAAGCAUCGGCUAACUCCGUGCCAGCAGCCGCGGUAAUACGGAGGAUGCGAGCGUUAUCCGGGUUUAUUGGGUUUAAAGGGUGCGCCGGCGGUCUUUU